AAGUCGUAACAAGGUUUCCGUAGAUCAAGUACGGGAUAGCUCCACCGCAAGGUGGAGAUGAUCCUUCCGCGUAACACUUGCCGAAGCCUUAGCAGCCCGAAAGGGUGCAGUUCCAACGACUCUAAAAACUCGAGAACUGCUUAAAUGCUAGUCUGCGUUUAGCAGGCAACACUGUCAAAUUGCGGGAACACCCUAAAGACCUCAACACCAAGCGCUCACGGGAAACCGUGGCGUGGCCGAGCUAAUAGCCCUGGGUAUGGUAACAGCUUGAGGUAUGAAGCCCCUUUUGGGGCAGAAAUGGGCAAUCCGCAGCCAAGUCCUAACGCACUUCGGUGUUAUGGAUGCUGUUCACAGGCCAAAUGGUAGUGGGUGACUUUCGGGUUGCUUAAGAUAUGGUCGGGCCCCUUCAGAAAUGUCGGGGAUAAGUUUACGCAGUUACUCAGUGCUUGCAUUGGGUGACGAAGAACUCAUGUAGCGUAAAAACUGCGUUGAGUAAGAACAAACCGUUCCGUAGGUGAACCUGCGGAAGGAUCAUUACACAAUAUUACGGGGGGCCGGACCCCAAAACUGCUUGCAGCUUUGGGCCUGCCCUGUCUGAUAUUCUACCCAUGUCUUUUGCGUACUUUUCGUUUCUUGGUGGGCUUGCCUGCCAAUAGGACAACCAAUUAAACCUUUUUGUAAUUGCAUCAGCGUCUGAAAAACUUUAAUAGUUACAA
rnacentral:ncRNA from 1 species